GCGGGGGUCGCCCAGCCCGGUCAACGGCGCGAGGUUCAGGACUUCGUCUCUUAGGAGUUCAUGGGUUCAAAUCCCAUCUCCCGCA
rnacentral:tRNA from 1 species